AUCGCUUCUCGGCUCUUUUGAGCUAAGAUCAAGUGUAGUAUCUGUUCUUCUCA
rfam:Ciona savignyi cont_51947, whole genome shotgun sequence.